rnacentral:rRNA from 1 species
AAUAGAUACCCGGGUAGUCCACGCCGUAAACGAUGAGUGCUAAGUGUUAGGGGGUUUCCGCCCCUUAGUGCUGCAGCUAACGCAUUAAGCACUCCGCCUGGGGAGUACGGUCGCAAGACUGAAACUCAAAGGAAUUGACGGGGGCCCGCACAAGCGGUGGAGCAUGUGGUUUAAUUCGAAGCAACGCGAAGAACCUUACCAGGUCUUGACAUCCCGCUGACCGGCCUAGAGAUAGGCUUUUCCCUUCGGGGACAGCGGUGACAGGUGGUGCAUGGUUGUCGUCAGCUCGUGUCGUGAGAUGUUGGGUUAAGUCCCGCAACGAGCGCAACCCUUGAUCUUAGUUGCCAGCAUUCAGUUGGGCACUCUAAGGUGACUGCCGGUGAUAAACCGGAGGAAGGUGGGGAUGACGUCGAAAUCAUCAUGCCCCUUAUGACCUGGGCUACACACGUGCUACAAUGGACGGUACAGAGGGUUGCAACCCCGGCGAGGGUGAGCUAAGUCCCAUAAAACCCGUUCUCAGUUCGGAUUGUAGGCUGCAACUCGCUAC